rnacentral:rRNA from 1 species
AUUGAACGCUGGCGGAAUGCUUUACACAUGCAAGUCGAACGGUAGAGGGGGCAACCCCUUGAGAGUGGCGAACGGGUGAGUAAUAUAUCGGAACGUGCCCAGUCGUGGGGAUAACGUAGCGAAAGUUACGCUAAUACCGCAUACGAUCUAAGGAUGAAAGCGGGGGAUCGCAAGACCUCGCGCGAUUGGAGCGGCCGAUAUCAGAUUAGGUAGUUGGUGGGGUAAAGGCUCACCAAGCCAACGAUCUGUAGCUGGUCUGAGAGGACGACCAGCCACACUGGGACUGAGACACGGCCCAGACUCCUACGGGAGGCAGCAGUGGGGAAUAUUGGACAAUGGGCGAAAGCCUGAUCCAGCAAUGCCGCGUGAGUGA